CUAGCAAAAAUUGCUGUGGUGUUUUUGUAAAUCUGUUUUUGAAGGUAUUAGAAAACAGUUUUAGAAACCAACAUCAAAGGGUAAAUUAUUGCCCAAUAUAUUUAAAGACACUCCAGUCCCCACACAUACUGGUGCAAUGUGUCAUUUUAUAUCCAAUUAGUUAUGCUGGUUGUUUUGGUUUACUUUCUCACUAAUAUUCAAUUUUUCUUUGUUUUUAAGGGACAUACAUUACUUUGAGCCAACUGUCCCAUUCAAAAGCUUUAGAUUUUAGAUAGCUGCCUAACUCUGCAGGCUGAAAAGAAAAGGUAAAUAUGAAUUUUACUCCACUCUCUCCUCUGGCAAGUUACAAUGUAAUACAUAGACAUGAAAGUGGGAAAUGUGGCGGAAUAGACUCUUAAAUGUACCUGUCAUGUUGUCACAAUUUCUAACAAAUGUAAAGAUUUUCCUGCAAUUUUAUUUAAAAAUGUGAUCACUGCCCUCACCUAUCAAAC